AUGUGUAAGUCUAUCCAUGUCUAGUCCUACUUUCGCAACAAGGAGUUAAGGACAAAGCAAACUAGUCUUUGCAUUUAUUACCCACGAUUAAACGGUGUUUUGUUUUAGAAAUUAUUUGCCAGAAAUUCAACUUUAUCUCGUUAAAAUGGCUGAAAUUAACAACUCAGUCUACCUUGAGGGCCUCGAUUUUUCACUCGAACAGACCACAUGUUUCCAAAUUUCCCUGGGAUUAUUUACUUCCUUCCUUUUUCUUUUUCUUCUAUUCUGUUUCGCCCUCAAGGAAAAGCUGAAACCUCUUCUAGAAUUUGACAUUGGCAGUUUACAAGCUACACCAGAAACCAACAUCCAUGUCAUAACUAGAACUGAUGAACAAAAUGAAUAUUUUCAUGGUCGAAAGGAAUUGGGAACAUCUGUAUGCCAGUCAAUAGGGAAAUGCAUUGUGAAAUGUGCUAUUUUUAUGUUGGACAAUGCUAAUGGGUUGGAAACGUUGGAAAGUGAGGUGGUAUUUACAAGCUUUGACGUUUCUUUGGUUGAUCGAAGCUGCUAUAGAGGGAAUUCCUCAGAACAUUCUACUGUGGUAUAUCAAGUAUGAAAAUGAAGAUUUAAAUAUAGAUCUUCACAACACAAAGGAUAUUUCUUUAGUCCUUAACUUCGUAUCUUCCCUACUAAGUGUAUUUUUUGCUACAAAGUACUUCAAUAAAGACGAAGACCAAAGGCUUGAGCAUUCAAAAAGAACGGUUGGAAAAUCGUACAGAAAUAAAUGUGUAUCUUUUUUGCGUGAAAUUGCUUAUUUACUCGCGUUAUUUUCUGAAAAAGGUAUCGAAAUUUUUAUUCGAAUUGUUAUGUUUGGAACAUUUGCAUCAGUUGUUGGAUGGGAGCCAGCUUUUUAUGUAUUUUUAGGCCAUUUUGGCAUUUUUCUUUUCUUAACUUGGUAUUGCUUUCGACAACUUAAACAAAAGCAUAUUUACUAUGAUAACUGCGCAAAUAACCCUAGUUUGAUGUCUAGUCUUUUAGUUGGUAUUUUUGCAAACAUAUUUUUCUGUCAUUCCUGGGCAUUUUGCCACAUUAUGUCCAGAAAAGUUGUAUAUUUACUUUACUUUCUUUUGUUUUACGCCACUUGCAUUUCUCUCUCAGUAUCAUCUAAUGCAAUUUCUGGUGUGGUGGAUGAUUUUUCAAUAAGUUUAUACUCAGUCAUUAUUUUUCAAAUCAUGUUUCUUGCGUUUUGUUUUACUUUGAGAGAAUGUAGAAGGAAAAGAUUGUUACAAAGAUAGAUAGCUCUGACUUCUUGAUCCUUUUCUAUGAGA